CACGUAGGGCGCAAGCGUUGUCCGGAAUUAUUGGGCGUAAGGAGCUCGUAGGCGGUCUGUUGCGUCCGCUGUGAAAACUCGGGGCUUAACCCCGAGCCUGCAGUGGAUACGGGCAGACUAGAGGUAGGUAGGGGAGAAUGGAAUUCCCGGUGUAGCGGUGAAAUGCGCAGAUAUCGGGAGGAACACCGGUGGCGAAGGCGGUUCUCUGGGCCUUACCUGACGCUGAGGAGCGAAAGCGUGGGGAGCGAACAGG
rnacentral:rRNA from 1 species